GACGAACGCUGGCGGCGUGCUUAACACAUGCAAGUCGAACGGAAAGGCCCUGCUUUUGUGGGGUGCUCGAGUGGCGAACGGGUGAGUAACACGUGAGUAACCUGCCCUUGACUUUGGGAUAACUUCAGGAAACUGGGGCUAAUACCGGAUAGGAGCUCCUGCUGCAUGGUGGGGGUUGGAAAGUUUCGGCGGUUGGGGAUGGACUCGCGGCUUAUCAGCUUGUUGGUGGGGUAGUGGCUUACCAAGGCUUUGACGGGUAGCCGGCCUGAGAGGGUGACCGGCCACAUUGGGACUGAGAUACGGCCCAGACUCCUACGGGCGGCAGCAGGCGGGAAUAUGGCACAAUGGGCGGAAGCCUGAUGCAGCAACGCCGCGUGCGUGAUGACGGCCUUCGGGUUGUAAACCGCUUUCGCCUGUGACGAAGCGUGAGUGACGGUAAUGGGUAAAGAAGCACCGGCUAACUACGUG
rnacentral:rRNA from 1 species